rnacentral:lncRNA from 1 species
GGCAGGGGUCUGAGACUACUUUUGAGAAGAGAAACAACGCAAAACGAUCGCUGGAGGGCCAGAGCCCUGAUCGAAGGUGCCCUAGCUUUUAUGACCUGGUUAAUUGUGUCUCCUUUUUAUUUUAAUUUUUUUCCUUACCACCACUACUACUACUACUACUUUUAUUUUUUUUUUUAACCGACACACUUUGGAGAGAAGAAGCAGACACAGGUUCCCACGGCGUCUGACGCCUGCGGAGCAAGUCCAGAGCCAGCUGGACUCGCAGCCUCUGGCCCGGCGGCACCAACUCCAUACUGGGUCAUUUUGAGCGCGCUGUGCCCACCUUUUCUGUUGCGUGUGGACGUGGGGAGGAUCUUCUAAGUCCCUCCAACGAAGGCAAGUGUGAGACUCUGGCCCUUUAUUUGUAAGAAGCAAGCCUUCAGAUUGCAGAAGUGUCGCGCGGGUCGCCAUGCGUUGCGCGAGUGGGAAGAUGGAGG